rnacentral:rRNA from 1 species
AUUGAACGCUGGCGGCGUGCUUAACACAUGCAAGUCGAACGCGAAAGGGACUUCGGUCCUGAGUAAAGUGGCGCACGGGUGAGUAACGCGUGGAUAAUCUGCCCUUAUGAUCGGGAUAACAGUUGGAAACGGCUGCUAAUACCGGAUACGCUCAAAAUGAACUUUUUGAGGAAAGAUGGCCACCGCUUGCAUGCUAUCACGUAAGGAUGAGUCCGCGUCCCAUUAGCUUGUUGGCGGGGUAACGGCCCACCAAGGCAUUGAUGGGUAGCCGACUUGAGAGGAUGAUCGGCCACACUGGAACUGAAACACGGUCCAGACUCCUACGGGAGGCAGCAGUGGGGAAUAUUGCGCAAUGGGCGAAAGCCUGACGCAGCGACGCCGCGUGAGGGAUGAAGGUUUUCGGAUCGUAAACCUCCGUCAGAAGGGAAGAAACUACGUUGUGCUAAUCAGCAGCGUACUGACGGUACCUUCAAAGGAAGCACCGGCUAACUCCGUGCCAGCCGCCGCGGUAA